AAACCAUGGUGUGGACACUUCCUUAUAAGUUCUCUAAACCGCUCCUAGUCUUCUUAUAGAGAUUCAGACUCAUAUUGCUUGUAACUUGAUAUUUCUGCAAUUAGCUU